CUGUGAGAGGUUGACAAACAGGAUUAGAAGUUUAGUUACAAUUAGCCAAAUUAAGUCAUAGUUUGUUUGCGUCCUCCACUUCCGGUGUUAGAUGUGUUUCCCCAACGGUUAUCCGUAAGUCACUAGAUUUACCAUAACACAGGUAACAAGACUUGUAUGUAUUGUCCUUCCAGGAGACUGUUUAAAAGGACAAUUGUGGGCCUGAAAGCUAGUUCGGAACUAGCAUAACGUUAGUUCCUGUAACUAGCCGCAACACAAAUCCAACGCACCCUUUUUGAUUGGGCAGACUAAUUAAGCCGUCGCCCAUGUUCACUUGCGGCGUCACAACUCACCUGUAACACUGCUAAAAACACCGCUGCUGCUGCUUUCACUGGUCAAGUGGCUUUUUUAUUAAGAAGCUAACUGUUACCAUUUAACUUAGCUGCUGUGUUCAAGGACCGUUGCCGCCACUUGAAACUUAGAGGCACUGUUCCAAAGGGUUUACCUUGCUACCUGUUAAGAUGCCGGGCAUCACUGCUUCAAAUGUGAAGAAAGCCAGGAAGCAGCCAUAUUGAUCUGACAUUUUUCCAGAAUUGGAUGGUCCAAAUCUAUUUUGUUGGAAACCAAAGACACUCUACAUACAGUGAUAAAACUGAGAAAAGCAUCAAAUUUGAACAACAGGGGACCAAGAGAUGAGUGUCUAGGAACGUCGGACACAUUCUAAUUAACAUGGACAGCAUCUACACGGAUACUGGAGGUGCAGUGGAGACGCCGGGGGCACUCAGCUCCUGCUCAGCACCACCACAGGCAGCCACCAAAAACAAUAGAAAAUGUCUUAUUCACUCCACACACUCUGAGUGAGUAUGUGCC